rnacentral:rRNA from 1 species
ACGCUCGACACCUACGGGAGGUAGCAGUGGGGAAUAUUGCACAAUGGGGGAAACCCUGAUGCAGCGACGCCGCGUGAGUGAAGAAGUAUUUCGGUAUGUAAAGCUCUAUCAGCAGGGAAGAGAAUGACGGUACCUGACUAAGAAGCCCCGGCUAACUACGUGCCGGCAGCCGCGGUAAUCUGAGCGGGCUGGCAAGGC